rnacentral:rRNA from 1 species
UACCAGCACCCCGAGUGGUCGGGACGAUUAUUGGGCCUAAAGCAUCCGUAGCCGGUUCUACAAGUCUUCCGUUAAAUCCACCUGCUUAACAGAUGGGCUGCGGAGGAUACUAUGGAGCUAGGAGGCGGGAGAGGCAAGCGGUACUUAGUGGGUAGGGGUAAAAUCCGUUGAUCCAUUGAAGACCACCAGUGGCGAAGGCGGCUUGCCAGAACGCACUCGACGGUGAGGGAUGAAAGCUGGGGAGCAACGGGAUAGAACCUGGUA